rnacentral:rRNA from 1 species
ACGAACGCUGGCGGCGUGCUUAACACAUGCAAGUCGAACGGAAAGGCCCUGCUUUUGUGGGGUGCUCGAGUGGCGAACGGGUGAGUAACACGUGAGUAACCUGCCCUUGACUUUGGGAUAACUUCAGGAAACUGGGGCUAAUACCGGAUAGGAGCUCCUGCUGCAUGGUGGGGGUUGGAAAGUUUCGGCGGUUGGGGAUGGACUCGCGGCUUAUCAGCUUGUUGGUGGGGUAGUGGCUUACCAAGGCUUUGACGGGUAGCCGGCCUGAGAGGGUGACCGGCCACAUGGGGACGGAGAACCGGCCCGGACCCCUACGGGGGGCAGCAGGGGGGAAUAUGGCACAAUGGGCGGAAGCCUGAGCCAGAAACCCCGCGUGCGGGAGACGGGCCUUGGGGUGGUAACCCGUUUCCGCCUGUGACGAAGCGGGAGUGACGGUAAUGGGUAAAGAAGCACCGGCUAACUACGG